rnacentral:rRNA from 1 species
GAUGAACGCUGGCGGCGUGCUUAAUACAUGCAAGUCGAGCGAAAAGACGAUUUGCUUGCUCCUCUGACGUUAGAGGGGGACGGAAGAGUAACACGUGGUUAACUUAACUAUAAGACUGGGCUAACUUAGGGAAACCGGUGCUAAUACCGGCUACUAUAUUGAACCGCAUGGUUCAAUAGUGAUCGACGGAUUUGCUGUCACUUAUCGAUGGAUUCGCGCCGCUUUAGCUAGUUGGUAAGGUAACGGCUUACCAAGGCAACGAUGCGUAUCCUACCUGAGAGGGUGUACGGCGACACUGGGACUGGUAGACGGUACAGACUCCGACGGGAGGCAGCGGUAGGGAAUCGUCCGAGAUGUGCGGAAGCCUGACGGAGCGGCGCCGGGUUGAUGAAGAAGGGCUGCGGAUCGUAUGACGCUGUUAUUAUGGUAGAACAAAUGUGUAAGUGACUAAGCGCUUCUUGACGGUACCUGGACAGAAAGCCACGGCUAACUACGUG